GACGAACGCUGGCGGCGUGCUUAACACAUGCAAGUCGAACGGUCCUGUUUUUGAAGCGCUUCGGCGUGGAGGGAGCGGGUUAGUGGCGCACGGGUGAGUAAUGCGCGAGGACCUGCCCGCGGGAGGGGGACAGCAGUUGGAAACGGCUGGUGAUACCCCGUAGGCCGGGAGGUAAAAGGGCGGAGACGCCCGCCUGCGGAUGGACUCGCGUCCUAUCAGCUAGUUGGUGAGGCAACGGCUCACCAAGGCGACGACGGGUAGCCGGCCUGAGAGGGUGUCCGGCCACACUGGAACUGAGACACGGUCCAGACUCCUACGGGAGGCAGCAGUGGGGAAUUUUGGGCAAUGGGGGAGACCCUGACCCAGCGACGCCGCGUGAGGGACGAAGGCCCUUGGGUCGUAAACCUCUUUUGCAGGGGAAGAAGAAGAUGACGGUACCUUGCGAACAAGUCCCGGCUAACUACGUG
rnacentral:rRNA from 1 species